GACGGAGGGUGCAAGCGUUGCUCGGAAUGACUGGGCGUAAAGGGUGUGUAGGCGGUUUGUUAAGUCUGAUGUGAAAUCCCCGGGCUCAACCUGGGAACUGCGUUGGAAACUGGCAAACUAGAGUACGUAAGAGGGGGGUGGAAUUCCACGUGUAGCAGUGAAAUGCGUAGAGAUGUGGAGGAACACCGAUGGCGAAGGCAACCCCCUGGGACGAUACUGACGCUGGGGCACGAAAGCGUGGGGAGCAAACAGG
rnacentral:rRNA from 1 species